UGUGCCAGUGUGGGGGCAGGGUUUGAGGUUUCCUAUGCUCAAGAUACCACCCAGUGUCUGAGCCCACGGCUUGUUGUCUUCUGAAAAUGUAGCCAGCAUCACGUCUGCCUGGUAUGAUGCCAUGUCCUGCUAUGAUAAUGGACUGAACCUCUGAACUGUGAUGGAAGCAAUGUUUGCAGGGCGUUUAGUAAGCCCUCGUCCCCGGCGAGGUUACUAAGUAACCCCCAAGGCCUCCAAGGAAGCUGCGAGUUACUUACGUGGAUGCCAGGCAAGCAUGGAAGGCAGAGAAAUGAGGAUCAAACGCAGCAGCGUCUGUGGCUGUCCAGGAUGAAAAGAGCCAAGGAAAAACACCCUGACCCUGACUUGACCCCAGGACCAGGGCUUGAAAUUCCACCAAUCCCUGAGCUUGCCCAGAAUCAGACCACAAAACCCAUCAAUCCCAAGCCACCCUGAAAAUCUCCACCCCCUCCCCGCAGGAAACCCUAUAUAAGCUCUGUACCCUCUUCAGUUUGCUGCUGCUUCUCACCCUAGAGGCAGUCACCCUCCUGGAUUCUUCUUUCCAAUAAAUCUCUUGAGUAAG